AUUGAACGCUGGCGGCAGGCCUAACACAUGCAAGUCGAGCGGCAGCGGGAAAGUAGCUUGCUACUUUUGCCGGCGAGCGGCGGACGGGUGAGUAAUGCCUGGGAAAUUGCCCAGUCGAGGGGGAUAACAGUUGGAAACGACUGCUAAUACCGCAUACGCCCUACGGGGGAAAGCAGGGGACCUUCGGGCCUUGCGCGAUUGGAUAUGCCCAGGUGGGAUUAGCUAGUUGGUGAGGUAAUGGCUCACCAAGGCGACGAUCCCUAGCUGGUCUGGGAGGAUGAGCAGCCACACGGGAACUGAGACACGGUCCAGACUCCUACGGGAGGCAGCAGUGGGGAAUAUUGCACAAUGGGGGAAACCCUGAUGCAGCCAUGCCGCGUGUGUGAAGAAGGCCUUCGGGUUGUAAAGCACUUUCAGCGAGGAGGAAAGGUUGAUGCCUAAUACGUAUCAACUGUGACGUUACUCGCAGAAGAAGCACCGGCUAACUCCGUGCCAGCCGCCGCAGUAACAC
rnacentral:rRNA from 1 species